GAUCCAACCUUGAAGUCGCGCAUCCUCGUACUGUGUGGGCGUGGCUAAUCUAUGGCUGGAGUAUAUAAAGUCGGUCACAAUGAAUGGCUGUCAUCUGUCUGUCUCAAUAUGGUUCUUACAUUGUCGGUCGUUCUGGCAUGCGCCGGAGUCGUUCUGGGCUCCGUCCAUCCCCCUGCAUAUGGCCAUCACCCACAGCCCGCCUACGGUCAUCAUGCGCCCGCUUACGGUCAUCAGCCUACAAAC
rnacentral:misc_RNA from 1 species